GACGAACGCUGGCGGCGUGCUUAACACAUGCAAGUCGAACGGUGAAGCUCCAGCUUGCUGGAGUGGAUCAGUGGCGAACGGGUGAGUAACACGUGAGCAACCUGCCCCUGACUCUGGAAUAAGCGCUGGAAACGGCGUCUAAUACUGGAUACGAGAAGGGUCCGCAUGGGCACUUUCUGGAAAGUUUUUCGGUUGGGGAUGGGCUCGCGGCCUAUCAGCUUGUUGGCGAGGUAAUGGCUCACCAAGGCGACGACGGGUAGCCGGCCUGAGAGGGCGACCGGCCACACUGGGACUGAGACACGGCCCAGACUCCUACGGGAGGCAGCAGUGGGGAAUAUUGCACAAUGGGCAAAAGCCUGAUGCAGCGACGCCGCGUGAGGGAUGACGGCCUUCGGGUUGUAAACCUCUUUCAGCAGGGAAGAAGCGAAAGUGACGGUACCUGCAGAAGAAGCACCGGCUAACUACGUG
rnacentral:rRNA from 1 species